GGGGAAUCUUCCGCAAUGGGCGAAAGCCUGACGGAGCAACGCCGCGUGAGUGAAGACGGCCUUCGGGUUGUAAAGCUCUGUUAUACGGGACGAAUAAUCUUGUGGUUAAUACCCAUGAGAAGUGGCGGUACCGUAAGAGAAAGCCACGGCUAACUACGUGCCAGCAGCCGCGGUAAUACGUAGGUGGCAAGCGUUGUCCGGAAUUAUUGGGCGUAAAGGGCGCGCAGGCGGCUUCUUAAGUCUGUCUUAAAAGUGCGGGGCUUAACCCCGUGAUGGGAUGGAAACUGGGAAGCUCAGAGUAUCGGAGAGGAAAGCGGAAUUCCUAGUGUAGCGGUGAAAUGCGUAGAUAUUAGGAGGAACACCAGUGGCGAAAGCGGCUUUCUGGACGAAAACUGACGCUGAGGCGCGAAAGCCAGGGGAGCGAACGGGAUUAGAUACCCCGGUAGUCCUGGCCGUAAACGAUGGGUACUAGGUGUAGGAGGUAUCGACCCCUUCUGUGCCGGAGUUAACGCAAUAAGUACCCCGCCUGGGGAGUACGGCCGCAAGGUUG
rnacentral:rRNA from 1 species